rnacentral:rRNA from 1 species
UACGUAGGGGGCAAGCGUUGUCCGGAUUUAUUGGGCGUAAAGCGCGUGUAGGCGGCCAGGUAGGUCGGUUGUGAAAAUUGGAGGCUAAACCUCCAGACGUUGAUCGAAACCAUCUGGCUAGAGUCCGGAAGAGGAGAAUGGAAUUCCUGGUGUAGCGGUGAAAUGCGCAGAUAUCAGGAAGAACACCGAUGGCGAAGGCAGUUCUCUGGGACGGUACUGACGCUGAGACGCGAAAGCGUGGGGAGCGAACAGG